UGCUAUCUAAGCGAAAACCAUGUUUACAUGCAUAGUUUUGAUUUUUAUUGGAUAUAUUCAUGUUGGAGGUUCACAAAAUCCAGAAUUAAUUUCAAAUGCAACAUUCGUAGAAGAUAAUGAUGCAUUAAAGUUGAUGUGCACUCAUUCCACGUCGACUAUUGUGAAGUGGUGGCUCAAACCAGUGAGAAGUAAUAACUUUGAUAAUGUUCUCUCAGCCUCAUCUUCAUCCAGCACGUGAUUGUUUGACCGUACUCCUUUACCUGACGUGUUUGCUGGUAGUAACUGUGCAGGGUCAACGUUUACCUGUACCCUUAAAUCAUUAUCACGGAACAACGAUGGAGACAAAUGGAAGUGCUCUAUUAUUCAAACAAAUGUUGAUGUCUUCAGUCAGGAAAUAACAAUUGCUUUGGCAGUGCCUGUGAUCAGCGUAACGUUGACUCCAGACCUACCAGCAAUUUCUGUGUUACCAAACGCACCAAUCAGCUUCAUCAAAUGUGAAUCUUCAGAGGGUCGUCCUUCCCCUAUCAUUACUUGGUAUAUAGACAAAGACACUCCCAUUUACAACGACGAUGUAAAUAUCACUGAACGAAGCAUUAGUAUUGUAGCAGGAGACCGGACGACAAGCACUCUGACAAUUAUUCCUUCACUGGAACAUCACGGGGCAAUCAUUUACUGCAACGUCACCAAUGGAUACGGGCCGAUCAUAUCCGACAGGAAACUCCGUCUUUACGUUU